GCAUCAUUUCAAUCCAUAUAUGAAAUUAUCAACCAGAAGGAAAAACAUAAAAAUUAUGUAACUUGUGCUGUCCACCAGACAACUAAAUAAACAAAGGGGAAAAGCAGCAAUGCCCAGUAAUAAAAUAGGUAUUUUGAUUUGUUCUAGCCAUAUUAUGCUACCAUCAUUGAAACUGUACUGCAGAAGUGCGAAGGAGCAACAGUUUGUUGAGUGGCAUGAUAUAAAAUAAGCAAAAUUAUCACAUGAACUUGUUGGCAAACCAUGAUUGGCAAAAACCAAAAAAGUCUUUAAGAGUGAAAGACAACUGAGAAAACAAAAUCCCAAAAUUAUAAUUGAAAAAUUAAAGACCAAAACUGGAAUCACCAUUGCAUUCGUCAGAAUUCUCCUAACAUGUAUAGAAACGGAUAGAUAGAUACAAAGGCAAAGCAUGAUAAAUAAAGAAAAACCCAGAAGAGGAGGAAAAGGCAAAAAAAUUGGAUUACUUUUCACGGAUAUAGGCCACGGGG
rnacentral:misc_RNA from 1 species